rnacentral:rRNA from 1 species
AUAAUUUAAUAUAUUAUCACGAAGGAGAUUGAGCUAAUUAUUUAAGUCUAAUAGGACCACAAUCAUAUGUUGCAGCAUGUGGCUWAUAUAUUUAAUUAGGGGUGAUAGGCCUCACAAGACCUCCGAUAUCUUGUUUCUUAGGAAAUAUAUUAAGUAUGUCUUUAAUUUAGGAGUGUUUAGGCUCUUAAAUGUUACAAAAUUAAUUUUAUGACAUAAUAAACUACCUAACGGUAAUUAUUUUAAUAAGUUAAUAUUAACUAUUUAUAUUUGUAUCUUCUACUAGGAUAUGCGUUGCAAUUAACUAUGUAUUAUUACUGUUAAUAUUAGUAUCCACCAAAAGUUUUUGUAGGAACUCGGCAAACUACUUCUCAACUGUUUAUCAAAAACAUAGCUAGGUGAACAUUAAUAUCUAGUGACUCCUGCUCAAUGGUUUAGCUAAAUAGCCGCAGUACCCUGACUGUGCAAAGGUAGCAUAAUCACUUGGCUUAUAAUUAAAGUCUGGCAUGAAAGGAUAUUUGGGAAGUGACUGUCUUUUAAGUCUUACCAGAAAUUACUUAGCAAGUGAAAAUUCUUGCAAAUACCAAAUAGACGAGAAGACCCUAGAAGUUUUAUGCAUUAGUAGUUGGGAUACUAGUACUAUUUUGUUGGGGCGACAGAGUAGCAGUAAACCUAUUUUUACAAAUUAGAACUAUAUGUUGAGUUAAAUUAAACUACUCUAGGGAUAACAGCAUAAUUUAUUAAAGUUUGUGACCUCGAUGUUGGACUAGGGAUCUUAGUGCCUAGAAGGUGCUGUGUCAAGCUCUGUUCGAGCUACUACCCCUACAUGAUCUGAGUUCAGACCGGC